GCGACAGCAGUCUCCUAAUCGUCCUAAUCCGACGAAGGGAGGAAGUUUGGUCGAAUUAAAAGAGAGAGGACGACCAGAUGAACGCAGAUUUCCCGGCUGCUGGAGGAGGCCCGGUGGAUGUUCACUCUCUGGAAGAGUAAAACCAAAGGAUCAACCGACACCAAACCCUAAACUGCUGUCUCUGUUCCAAAAAAUGAAGGAAAUCCAACAACUCCUUUCAGAGAACUGAAGACGGACAUGAAAAACCUGCAUCUUCUCUUCAAGAAAGCUUCUCUCUUUUGCUUUGCCGUUUACCAUCUUGGUGACAAUUAUCAAUCUUUACAAAAACAAUACUCCUGCUUUACUCCUGUGCUAAAGAAAAAAAAGAGCCCAUAAUAUAAAAUA